rnacentral:sRNA from 1 species
UCUGCAAUUACUGUGGCGGUCCGCAUC